rnacentral:rRNA from 1 species
AGCAACAACCUAGCCCAACCUAAACAAACAACUUAACAAACAAAACUAUCCCACCAACAACAACCAAAACAUUUUCACCGUCCUAGUAUAGGCGAUAGAAAAGACAGUUUGGAGCAAUAGAAAUAGUACCGCAAGGGAAAGAUGAAAAACAAUGAAAUAUUCACCAAGCCACAAAAAGCAAAGAUUAACCCUUAUACCUUUUGCAUCAUGAUUUAGCCAGCAUAUUCAAGCAAAGAGCCCUAAAGUAUGAACCCCCGAAACUAAGUGAGCUACUUAAAGGCAGCCGCACCAAGGCUAAACCCGUCUCUGUGGCAAAAGAGUGGAAAGACCUAUAAGUAGUCGUGAAAAGCCUAACGAACUUAGUGAUAGCUGGUUGCUCAACAAAAGAAUAUAAGUUCAACCUUAAACCUUCUACAAAACAACCUAAAAGUCAAAAGAAAAGCUUAAGAUCUAUUCAACCGGGGUACAGCCCACUUGAAAAAGGACACAACCUAAUAAAGGAGGACAAAACACCAAAACACAACAACCGUAGGCCUUAAAGCAGCCACCACCACAGAAAGCGUCAAAGCUCCACCCACCCACUAUUAAAUAACAACAACAAACUUUUAUCCCCCAACAAAAUUGAGCCACUCUACAAAAAUAGAAGAACUAAUGCUAAAAUGAGUAACAAGAAGACCAAACUUCUCUCAUGCGCUAGCUUAACUCAUAACAGAUACACUACUGAAUCUUAACAACCAUCAAUAUAAAACCAAUAACAUCUAAACCCACCCUAUACAACCAACUGUUAACCCAACACAGGAGCGCAUACAAGAAAGAUUAAAACUUGUAAAAGGAACUAGGCAAACCAAACGAGCCCGACUGUUUACCAAAAACAUAGCCCCAAGCACAUACAAGUAUUCGGGGUAAUGCCUGCCCAGUGACAUUGUUAAACGGCCGCGGUAUCCUAACCGUGCAAAGGUAGCGUAAUCACUUGUCUUUUAAAUAAAGACUAGAAUGAAUGGCCAAACGAGGCUCUACCUGUCUCUUACAAAUAAUCAGUGAAAUUGAUCUUCCGGAGGCAAAUAGCAGGCCUGGCGACGUAAGACGAGAAGACCCUGUGGAACUUCAAAUAUAAAAUCAACUAUAAUUAACACCCACCCAACAGGCCUAUUGCCUAAUAGUAUUUGAUUCUUAUUUUCGGUUGGGGCGACCUCGGAGAAAAACAAAACCUCCGAAAAAUAAAAAACUUUUUAAACCUAGAGCAACAACUCAAAGUGCUCUCGGCAAAACGAUCCAAUAUAAUUGAUCAACGAACCAAGCUACCCCAGGGAUAACAGCGCAAUCCCAUUCUAGAGUCCCUAUCGACGAUGGGGUUUACGACCUCGAUGUUGGAUCAGGACAUCCUGAUGGUGUAGCCGCUAUCAAGGGUUCGUUUGUUCAACGAUUAACAGUCCUACGUGAUCUGAGUUCAGACCGGAGCAAUCCAGGUCGGUUUCUAUCUAUAACUUUGAGCCUUUUCCAGUACGAAAGGACCGAAAAGACAAGGCCAAUAUCAAAAACAAGCCUUACCUUACAUUAGUGAGAACAACUUAACUAAUAAUAAGACAGAAGCCUCAGGCCCAAAAAAAGGGCCAAA